rnacentral:rRNA from 1 species
UACGUAGGGGGCGAGCGUUGUCCGGAGUGACUGGGCGUAAAGAGCACGUAGGCGGUUUAAUAUGUCGGAUGUGAAAAUCCCGAGCUUAACUCAGGACCUGCAUCCGAAACUGUUAAACUUGAGUACAGGAGAGGAAAGCGGAAUUCCUAGUGUAGCGGUGAAAUGCGUAGAUAUUAGGAGGAACACCAGUGGCGAAGGCGGCUUUCUGGACUGGAUCUGACGCUGAGGUGCGAGAGCUAGGGGAG